GGCUGCAUGGUGUAGUUGGUCAUCACGUAUCCUUAACACGGAUAAGGUCCUCAGUUCAAACCUUCUAGAUG
rnacentral:tRNA from 1 species